rnacentral:ncRNA from 1 species
GCCUUGUGUCUGAAAGGGCGACGGCGUAAGCUGGAGCGGGGUCUCAGCAGAGGUCAUAGUAGUCGGGGGUAGCGCCGGGAAGGCUCGACGCCUCUGACGAAGGAC